CCCUUAGACGUUCUGGGCCGCACGCGCGCUACACUGACCAGUGCAACAAGCAUCCGUCCUUGGCCGACAGGCCCGGGCAAUCUUUGAACGCUGGUCGUGAUGGGGAUAGACUUUUGCAAUUUUUGGUCUUCAACGAGGAAUUCCUAGUAAACGCAAGUCAUCAACUUGCAUUGAUUACGUCCCUGCCCUUUGUACACACCGCCCGUCGCACCUACCGAUUGAAUGGUCCGGUGAAGCCUCCGGAUUGGCGCGCACCUCGGUGCCGCCGAGAAGUUGGCUAAACCUUACCAGUUAGAGGAAGGUGAANUCGUANCA
rnacentral:rRNA from 1 species